UUAUGGAAGAAAUUGUAGUAU
rnacentral:siRNA from 1 species